CGGCGAGUGAAGCGGCAACAGCUCAAAUUUGAAAUCUGGAGCCUUUGUUGGCUUCCGAGUUGUAAUUUGCAGAGGGAGCCUCGGAGGGCUGGUCGGUCCAAGUGCCUUGGAACAGGAUACCGCAGAGGGUGAGAGUCCCGUAUCCGGCCGACGCAGUGCUCCGUGUGAGGCCUCUUCGACGAGUCGAGUUGUUUGGGAAUGCAGCUCUAAGUGGGUGGUAAAUUCCAUCUAAAGCUAAAUACUGGCCAGAGACCGAUAGCGAACAAGUAGAGUGAUCGAAAGAUGAAAAGCACUUUGAAAAGAGAGUUAAACAGUACGUGAAAUUGUUGAAAGGGAAGCGCAUGGGGGCAGACUUGGACGCGGGGUUCAGGGUCUCUUUUUUGGAGGCGUGUACUUCCCCGCGGACAGGCCAGCAUCGGUUCUGGGGGCCGGACAAAGGCGACGGGAACGUGGCUCUCUUCGGGGAGUGUUAUAGCCCGACGUGCAAUGCGGCC
rnacentral:rRNA from 1 species